AGGGGUAUAGCUCAGUUGGUAGAGCAGCGGUCUCCAAAGCCGUGUCCCUAUGUUCGUAUGGUAACUCAA
rnacentral:tRNA from 1 species